AGAAAAAGGGCUGUAAGGGUGCAGCAUCUGUUACCCCUCUAGUCGCUAGGGUUCAUCUGGCUGGUCUGGCUGACUAGGCGAGUAUCCCCUUCCUCCCUCACUGCUCUAUGUGUGUUCCUCCUAAAGCAGUGCACUGGUCAAAGAGGACGACCUUCCCCAAUGGAGGACCAUUCUUCGGUCAAGGUAGCUGCGCUCCCCUACUAGAACCUCCAAACAAGCUCUCAAGGUCCAGUUGUAGGAGGACACAGGGUAGUCAAGCUUCCAAGGCUCUGGACACAUCCAAAUGAGGGGCUGUACAUGGCAUGAAUUUUU
rnacentral:snRNA from 1 species